rnacentral:rRNA from 1 species
UGGUGGAGUGAUUUGUCUGGUUAAUUCCGUUAACGAACGAGACCUUAACCUACUAAAUAGUUACAUGAAUCUUUAUGAUUCAUGGGCAACUUCUUAGAGGGACUUUGGGCGUUUAGUCCAAGGAAGUUUGAGGCAAUAACA